UCAGGCCUAACACAUGCAAGUCGUACGAGGGUUUCAUACCCAAGUGGCGGACGGGUGAGUAACACGUGAGAAUCUACCCUAAGGAGGGGGACAACAGUUGGAAACGAUUGCUAAAACCCCAUAUGCUUCCGAGUGAAAUAGAUUUAUCUGCCUUAGGAAGAGCUCGCGGCUGAUUAGCUAGUUGGUGGGGUAAUGGCCUACCAAGGCGACGAUCAGUAUCUGGUUUGAGAGGACGAUCAGACACACUGGAACUGAGACACGGUCCAGACUCCUACGGGAGGCAGCAGUGGGGAAUUUUCCGCAAUGGGCGAAAGCCUGACGGAGCAAUACCGCGUGAAGGAAGACGGCCUAUGGGUUGUAAACUUCUUUUUUCAGGGAGGAACUCAAUGACGUGUACCUGAAGAAUAAGCAUCGGCUAACUCCGUGCCAGCAGCCGCGGUAAGACGGAGGAUGCAAGUGUUAUCCGGAAUCACUGGGCGUAAAGCGUCUGUAGGUGGUUUAGUAAGUCGACUGUUAAAUCUUGGGGCUCAACCUCAAAAUCGCAUUCGAAACUACUAGACUUGAGUAUAGUAGAGGUAAAGGGAAUUUCCAGUGGAGCGGUGAAAUGCGUAGAUAUUGGAAAGAACACCGAUGGCGAAGGCACUUUACUGGGCUAUUACUGACACUCAGAGACGAAAGCUAGGGUAGCAAAUGGGAUUAG
rnacentral:rRNA from 1 species